rnacentral:rRNA from 1 species
AUUGAACGCUGGCGGCAGGCCUAAAACAUGCACGUCGAACGAGUGGCGGACGGGUGAUUAAUGUCUGUGAAACUGCCUGAUGGAGGGGGAUAACUACUGGACACGGUAGCUAAUACCGCAUACCAUCAGAUUUGCCCAGAUGGGAUUACCUAGUGGGUGGGGUAACGGUUCCCCACGGCGACGAUCCCUAGCUGGUCUGAGAGGAUGACCAGUCAAACUGGAACUGAGACACGGUCCAGACUCCUACGGGAGGCAGCAGUGGGGAAUAUUGCACAAUGGGCGCAAGCCUGAUGCAGCCAUGCCGCGUGUAUGAAGAAGGCCUUCGGGUUGUAAAGUACUUUCAGCGGGGAGGCGUUACCCGCAGAAGAAGCACCGGCUAACUCCGUGCCAGUAGCCGCGGUAAUAC